rnacentral:rRNA from 1 species
UACGUAGGUGGCAAGCGUUGUCCGGAUUUACUGGGUGUAAAGGGCGCGUAGGCGGGAUUGCAAGUCAGAUGUGAAAUCUCCGGGCUCAACCCGGAAAUUGCAUUUGAAACUGUAGUUCUUGAGUAUCGGAGAGGCGAGCGGAAUUCCCAGUGUAGCGGUGAAAUACGUAGAUAUUGGGAGGAACACCAGUGGCGAAGGCGGCUUGCUGGACGACAACUGACGCUGAGGCGCGAAAGCGUGGGGAGCAAAC